AUGGUCAAAAUGAGAGAUCAGGUGGCCGAUCUUAAAAUAAAUCAAUAUUGAUUUUUUUUAUAGAGCGUUUAAGUUUUGCGAAGCCAGGGGGCGGGACUACUUGAUUGAUAGUCCGGUCUGGAAUGAUUGACAGGUCCUAUGGAGGAGGCAGCAGAGACUCUGCUCUCCUCGUUUGGAUUAAUUCUGAUAUAAUAACUGUUGGUUUAUUUAUCGGUGGAGCAGCACAACAUUUUCCACAGACAGUUUUCCUGCCCGUUGGCUUGUUUUAACCAGUUUUCUACCUUCGGCUGAUUCUACCAGCAGACACUGAAAGGACUCUAAUAGUUCGACCAAAGAACUACAGACUCUUCACAACCUGCUCAAACUCUUGGUUGCUUUGUAGAACUGUUCCAGAAAACCUCACUAAACCACAUGGAGGGGCCUCAAGAUAGUCGUCCAAAUGAAACUGUACAAAAACCAAACUAGCACAACCCAAACGCUAAAGUCUCCUGCAACCUACCAGAGAACCUCUGAGAACAGAGAAUCAGGACAGGAACUCUUACCUUCUGGACAACCAACGUUGGUUCUCAAACAAUACAGAAUGUGUCUGACCAAAAACCUCUAAAGACUCACUACAGCCAAGAUAAAGACACAACUCAGCUGCACCAAAUCCACUAAUCACUGCACACAUUAGCACCAUGUGCUAAGUGUGGCUAAAGAACCACAUUUACCAAGACAACUAUGCAGUACAAAGCCCUAAAACACACCAAGAAACACAUUAAAGAUGAUUUUACUGCUGGAAGCUGCAAGCCAACGCCUAAAGAACAAACUAAAGCAAAAGAGCCAAACCCGGUUCAGUGGUGAAGAGCAGAGGAAAUGUUUGUAGCUAAACAAAGCAGGAAGACACUGAGCUGCUCAGGUGUUCCUGAUAAUACCAAGCAGCCACCUGGACAGCCAAUAGGAACACAGCUUACUGGAAGUCCAGAGGGCUGGGUUAGUGAAGGAAAUUUAGUUUAAAGUUGAGGCAGAAAGUUAACAAAGAAAGUUGAAAACCACCUUCUGAUACCUGAAAUCUCUGAGUUUUCACACAAAGAACGCCUGAACAUGUCAAACUGGUUUCAUAGUAGAACCAUCAUUAUAAAAACAUCAUAGUAUGGUGUGUUGCUCAAAAAACAUUACGACCCAGCUGUCUAGGGUCGCCGAGGAGCAACACAAAAAGAGGGCAAACGCUGGUUUCCAGGGGGUUAGGUGGCUAUUUAUUUGAAAGAGUAAGUUUACAAUAACACAACAUGUGAACAAAAAAAUCAGUCUGUCUUUAGUUCAGCUGAAAAUAUUAGUUUUUGUCUUUUUUAUUGACCAAACUUUUCAGGAAGUAGUUGAAGAAUAAUUAAAGCUCUCAUGUAGAAGUCCAACUUAUUUUGGAUCCUUGUGGAGAGUUUAAUCUUAGAGUUUGUACAGCUGUUGAGUUUUUAGAGUCACAUGGAUUGUUUUGACAUUUAAUAAGGAAUAUUCCACCUAAAACCCCAAAUAUAGACCCGAAAGGGUGGUUUAGAAAAAAAUCCUUCAAUGUAGACCAAAAAAGUUAGUACGGAGGAAUAUUCUUCCUGUCAGGCUCGUGGUAGAACGGCUCUGAAGAAUCUUGUACUUGUCUUAUCUGGAACAAUCUAACAGCCUAAACUGUUAACAGCAGUGUAAAGAAGCAAACACACAGGCAUAGAUUAGGACUCAAACUAGAUUUAUUUUAGAAAACCAAUCAGCUUCGAGGCAUUUGUUCACACGUGGCUGAAUAGGAAGCCAUCCAAUCAGGUUAGAGGUCUUCACUCUGUAGGUUGGUUGUUCCGUGAGACUCUUGGACCUUCAUCAGCUGACGUGGAUGUUUGAUGGUCUUCCUCUCUAGUGCCAGAUGAAUCAUCCAUGAAUUCAGCAGCUACAGACUGAAAUGAAGCUCAUGCUGCUGUUAUUGAAUUCCUGUUCCAGAUCAAAUGUUCAGAGCUCACCUUGAAUGCAUGCCGUCUGCUGUCUGGAUAGUUUUUCUCAUUGUAGUCUUCAAUAAAGUCUUUUUCCUCAUGUCA
ensembl:lncRNA